rnacentral:rRNA from 1 species
UACUGGUCAAUGGGCGUAAGCCUGAACCAGCCAAGUCGCGUGAGGGAUGAAGGAUCUAUGGUUCGUAAACCUCUUUUAUAAGGGAAUANNAUGCGGGACGUGUCCUGUUUUGUAUGUACCUUAUGAAUAAGGAUCUGCUAACUCCGUGCCAGCAGCCGCGGUAAUACGGAGGAUCCGAGAGUUAUCCGGAUUUAUUGGGUUUAAAGGGUGCGUAGGCGGCCUUUUAAAUCAGCGGUGAAAGUCUGUGGCUCAACCAUAGAAUUGCCGUUGAAACUGGGGGGCUUGAGUAUGUUUGAGGCAGGCGGAAUGCGUGGUGUAACGGUGAAAUGCAUAGAUAUCGCGCAGAACCCCGAUUGCGAAGGCAGCCUGCCAAGCCAUGACUGACGCUGAUGCACGAAAGCGUGGGGAUCG